CUGAGCUUGGAAGGAAGAGGAAAGAGCUGCAGAGGCGGAGACUCUGACCCCAAAGUGAUCGAGGGCCCUCCCCUGGCUUCCGUGUCCCUGUGGCAGGCGGUGGUGGUCGGUGGUGGUCGAAAUCUCUGCCCCUCAGAGUCCGAGGGAGGAUGGAUGGAACAGGAGGAGCAUCAUGAGAAGGCUUCCUGUAAACUACGGAGGGCGACCGUGGAAGCCAGCAGAGGGUGUAGGGUCUCCUGGAGCCACAUCUCUGGAGUUACAAGAAGUUGUGAACCUCUCAACAUGGGUUCUGGGAACUGAACCCAGGUCCUCUGGAAGGACAUCGAGUGCUCUUAACCACUGGGCCAUCUCUGCAGCCUAACCCCAUCCCUUGGAGGCUGAAGCAAAGCAAGUUCAAUGACCGUGCGACCUGGCUCUUGUUUGGGCCUAAGGAAAAGCCGACUGUAAGCCGGGGAAGCAUCUCUGGCAAGAGAUGAAUAAGGAUUAAGCACGUCU
rnacentral:lncRNA from 1 species